rnacentral:siRNA from 1 species
UAUAUUCUGGCCCGCCCAUUCCA